rnacentral:misc_RNA from 1 species
GAUGAAGAACGUAGCGAAAUGCGAUACGUAAUGUGAAUUGCAGAAUUCGGUGAAUCAUCGAGUCUUUGAACGCACAUUGCGCCCCCUGGUAUUCCGGGGGGCAUGCCUGUCCGAGCGUCAUUGCUGCCCUCAAGCACGGCUUGUGUGUUGGGCCUCCGUCCUCCUCCCGGGGGACGGGCCCGAAAGGCAGCGGCGGCACCGCGUCCGGUCCUCGAGCGUAUGGGGCUUCGUCACCCGCUCUUGUAGGCCCGGCCGGCGCUUGCCGACACAUCAAUCUUUUUUCCAGGUUGACCUCGGAUCAGGUAGGGAUACCCGCUGAAUUUAAGCAUAUCAAUAAGCGGAGGA